UACGAACGCUGGCGGCGUGCCUAAUACAUGCAAGUAGAACGCUGAAGAGAGGAGCUUGCUCUUCUUGGAUGAGUUGCGAACGGGUGAGUAACGCGUAGGUAACCUGCCUUGUAGCGGGGGAUAACUAUUGGAAACGAUAGCUAAUACCGCAUAACAAUGGAUGACACAUGUCAUUUAUUUGAAAGGGGCAAUUGCUCCACUACAAGAUGGACCUGCGUUGUAUUAGCUAGUAGGUGAGGUAAUGGCUCACCUAGGCGACGAUACAUAGCCGACCUGAGAGGGUGAUCGGCCACACUGGGACUGAGACACGGCCCAGACUCCUACGGGAGGCAGCAGUAGGGAAUCUUCGGCAAUGGGGGCAACCCUGACCGAGCAACGCCGCGUGAGUGAAGAAGGUUUUCGGAUCGUAAAGCUCUGUUGUAAGUCAAGAACGGGUGUGAGAGUGGAAAGUUCACACUGUGACGGUAGCUUAACAGAAAGGGACGGCUAACUACGUG
rnacentral:rRNA from 1 species